AUCAGAGGGGCUGAAGAGCUUGUCUGCUUUGGCCUGGCUGUCUUUAUUCUGGCAACCUCCACCCAGGGCUGGCUCCAGGCACCAGCCCAGCAAGCAGGUGCUUGGGGUGGCCAAGGGGAAGGGGCGGCAUGUCGGGCUGUUCAGCAGCGGCGGGUCCCUCUCGGAGGGAAGCACCUGCCACCGAAUUCCUGCCGAAGAAGAAAGUGGUGCGGUGGAGUUGCUGCUGGAGUGCUGCCGAUCGCAAUUGUGAUCGCAGUCUUUUUUUUUUUUUUUCCCCCAGCCCCUUGGGAUGGCAAAACCCCUGGAGCCGGUCCUCCCUCCACCUCAUUAAACCUUGACAUCUGUCAUCUACAGGAGUUUUCUAGAGAGAGAAAAGUUGGUAAGAAGCCUACGAGCUCCAUGUGUGGUUCCUCUUCAACCAUCACUGAACUGCAGCAGCGGCGGCGCCGACGUCCCGGAGAGAGCUAUGGGCUAUUACAUGACCAUCUGCAUAAAAUAUUGGAAUCGUAGCCAUGAAAAUGAGCAGCGCUUUCAUUCCUGUACGCUCUGGAGAAUGACCAUGCAGCUUGGAGACGAGCAUAAAGGAAGGACCCAGUCCUGCCCUCAUUCAAAGACAUGGCGGAACUCCUAUUAACUUCAAUGGGAGCAGGAUCAAGCCCCAAGAAUGAUUCUGAGUGUAAAGAUAAGUCAAUUGAUGGAAAAUAUCUUGUGUAGCGUCAUAAAAGUCACCAGUUAAAUAUUCAAAACAGGUUGCAUUUGAAUGUUGCCAACUGGUACACGCACAAAAAGAGCCAAACAUCUGCCAAAUAAUAAAAAUAGAACCAAGGUGACUUUUAAUAAAUAA
rnacentral:lncRNA from 1 species